rnacentral:rRNA from 1 species
GGGUUGUGAGGUUAAGCGACUAAGCGUACACGGUGGAUGCCUAGGCAAUCAGAGGCGAUGAAGGACGUGCUAAUCUGCGAUAAGCGUCGGUAAGGUGAUAUGAACCGUUACAACCGACGAUUUCCGAAUGGGGAAACCCAGUGCAAUUCGUUGCACUAUCGUUUGAUGAAUACAUAGUCAAACGAAGCGAACCGGGGGAACUGAAACAUCUCAGUACCCCGAGGAAAAGAAAUCAACCGAGAUUCCCCUAGUAGCGGCGAGCGAACGGGGAGCAGCCCAGAGUCUUAAUCAGCAUUAGCAUCAGGAGAACGGUCUGGAAAGUCCGGCAGUAAAGGGUGAUAGCCCCGUAUCCGAAGGUGUUAGUGUUGUGAACUCGACGAGUAGGGCGGGACACGUGUUAUCCUGUCUGAAUAUGGGGGGACCAUCCUCCAAGGCUAAAUACUCCUGAUUGACCGAUAGUGAACCAGUACCGUGAGGGAAAGGCGAAAAGAACCCCGGCGAGGGGAGUGAAAUAGAACCUGAAACCGUGUACGUACAAGCAGUGGGAGCCUUGAUUUAUCAGGGUGACUGCGUACCUUUUGUAUAAUGGGUCAGCGACUUAUAUUCUGUAGCAAGGUUAACCGUAUAGGGGAGCCGUAGGGAAACCGAGUCUUAACUGGGCGAAUAAGUUGC